GAUGAACGCUGGCGGCGUGCCUAAUACAUGCAAGUCGAGCGAACGGACGAGAAGCUUGCUUCUCUGAUGUUAGCGGCGGACGGGUGAGUAACACGUGGAUAACCUACCUAUAAGACUGGGAUAACUUCGGGAAACCGGAGCUAAUACCGGAUAAUAUUUUGAACCGCAUGGUUCAAAAGUGAAAGACGGUCUUGCUGUCACUUAUAGAUGGAUCCGCGCUGCAUUAGCUAGUUGGUAAGGUAACGGCUUACCAAGGCAACGCUGCAUAGCCGACCUGAGAGGGUGCUCGGCCACAGUGGAACUGGAACACCGUCCAGACUCCUACGAAAGGCAGCAGUAUUGUAUCUUCCGCAAUGGGCGAAAGCCUAACGGAACAACGCCGCGUGAGUGAUGAAGGUCUUCGGAUCGUAAAACUCUGUUAUUAGGGAAGAACAUAUGUGUAAGUAACUGUGCACAUCUUGACGGUACCUAAUCAGAAAGCCACGGCUAACUACGUG
rnacentral:rRNA from 1 species